UGUGUGUGUGAAUGUGUGUGUAGCCUAAUAUCUGAGGUGUUUUGUUCACAGGUGUCUGACUGGUAUCUGUCAUGGGCAUCUGUUAUUUUAUCAUGAGCAGCAUAUCACUGCUGGGGUGUGUUGCCAUGGCACUCAACAGACAGGCACUCUGCAUGCCAGAGUGUCUAAAGUGUAACAGCACGGACACAGACCACAGCUUAGACAAUUGUCUUGGUCAUUGCAACGGUGCCAACAAUUCCUGCGAGGAUGUUCCUAAAACCUGCAUAAAAGAUUUUCAAGUGCGGCUGAACACUUCCUCAGAGAUCAACGAGGGGGAUGACUUCAUGGCCACCUGUGAGAACGACCUACCUCAAAACCUUGCCAAACAAUAUAUUUGGCUUCAGGACGAUGAACAAGUUCCUGAUCAGAACACAAGCCAGCUGACUCUAGAGAAACAAAUCCAUGAUUUCAAAGUGUCCUGCAAAAUAAACAGUCUUUGUGGUAAAUUCAUGUCAGACACCAUGGAUAUUGAUGUUCAAGACAGCAGCAUUUUGGUCCUGGUUGUGUGUGCCGUGAGUGCUGUUGUGCUUAUUUUGAUAUUCACUUUGGGCAUGAAGCUUCUUCUCAAGAGGGAUGUGGCUCAGAGAAAGAACAGACAUCAGCAGCAGGCACAUAAUAUCAACGCCAUCCACACAGUGACGCCUGUGGGCUCUGGAAACCGAUAGGCUCCUUUACCCAUGUGUAAUACAUGUUAAAUACAUGCUAUGUGACAUGACCCAAUCUAACAGCACUCCUUGUAUUUCCACUGUCCAAAAUGUGCCCCUGCUGCUUCAGGGACCAUAUAGAAGAUAUCACAUUGCUAAAAUCAUGUCUAAAAUUUCAGUUUUAUAGUUUUAAACUACUGUACUUUACGUAUGCUAUCACAUUACCACAGUGUAUGCAUCCUUGCAUUAAUCCGCCUCCACUUUGUGCAUUGUCUUGGAUUCAUUCUGGUUCAGAGACUCUUCAUAGGACAUGUGAUCCUCUUAGUACUUAUAGUUCAAACCCCAAUUUCUUCCAGCUCUUGAUCCAGCUCUUGACACUGAUGAAUUUAAAAACAAAGCAGUACAGAAGCUGUAGAGACUGUAGAUGUCUGUGUUCCUUCCUUACUGUGUUGUAUUUGUUCAUGUCUGACCACAUCCACAACUGUGGUCGCUAGUUGUCAGAGACUCUCAAUGUAUUCUUCCUCUUUAUAUGUUUUAAAUGUAUUUUAUUUCCAAUGUGUAAAUAUAUAUUUUUGACCAUUAUAAGGGAAAAGAAGUGAGUUGCUUAGCUGUUCCUUUUUCAAGUAUUUUGACAAGAAAGGGAGGUUGGAUAUAGGUCUGUAAUUAUCCAGGUUAUCGGGAUCAAGGCUAGUUUCUUUGAGAGAUGGUUUGAUCACAGCUAUUUUUAAUGAUAGUGGUACAUGUCCUGAAAUUACAUAAAAGUAGUGUCUCAUUUAUUAAGGCAGUGCGUGUUUAUUGUAAUUAUGUAGGAAUAGGGUCUAGUAUGUAGAGAGAUGUUGAUCAUUUUGAUGAGAUCAGGGAAGUGAGUUCAAGGAGGUCAGUAGGUGUGAAGGGUUCUAUGAAUAGACCAGAUUGCGCGGGUGUUACAGGUAUAGUGCAUCCUUAGAGGACAACAGGCUCAUGGAGAGGGAGGAGACUGAUUUUUGGUUGAAAUGUUGUCAUUGAGAAAAGCCAUACAACUGCUACUGUCCUUACUGCUACAGGUUAUAGGAACAGAGUGUUCAAUUGCAUUGUUGUUUUUCUUAUUCUAGAGAAAUUAGUUCAUCUUAUUCUAGAAAUGGUGUUCUUUUCAAUAAACGAAGAAUAACAGUUUUCUGUGUGGGUGUG
ensembl:lncRNA